rnacentral:rRNA from 1 species
AUGAACGCUGGCGGCGCGCCUAAUACAUGCAAGUCGAGCGAGAAGACGUAGCAAUACGUUUGUAAAGCGGCGAACGGGUGAGGAAUACAUGGGUAACCUACCCUCGAGUGGGGAAUAACUAGCCGAAAGGUUAGCUAAUACCGCGUACGCUCCUUGGACUUCGGUUCAGGGAGGAAAGACGAUACCGUGGGUAUCGCGCUCUUGGUUGGGCUCAUGUCCUAUCAGCUUGUUGGUGAGGUAACGGCUCACCAAGGCUUCGACGGGUAGCUGGUCUGAGAGGACGAUCAGCCACACUGGCACUGCGACACGGGCCAGACUCCUACGGGAGGCAGCAGUAAGGAAUAUUGCGCAAUGGGCGAAAGCCUGACGCAGCGACGCCGCGUGGGGGA